rnacentral:rRNA from 1 species
GGAGUACGGCCGCAAGGUUAAAACUCAAAUGAAUUGACGGGGGCCCGCACAAGCGGUGGAGCAUGUGGUUUAAUUCGAUGCAACGCGAAGAACCUUACCUACUCUUGACAUCCAGAGAACUUAGCAGAGAUGCUUUGGUGCCUUCGGGAACUCUGAGACAGGUGCUGCAUGGCUGUCGUCAGCUCGUGUUGUGAAAUGUUGGGUUAAGUCCCGCAACGAGCGCAACCCUUAUCCUUUGUUGCCAGCGAUUCGGUCGGGAACUCAAAGGAGACUGCCAGUGAUAAACUGGAGGAAGGUGGGGAUGACGUCAAGUCAUCAUGGCCCUUACGAGUAGGGCUACACACGUGCUACAAUGGCAUAUACAAAGAGAAGCGACCUCGCGAGAGCAAGCGGACCUCAUAAAGUAUGUCGUAGUCCGGAUUGGAGUCUGCAACUCGACUCCAUGAAGUCGGAAUCGCUAGUAAUCGUAGAUCAGAAUGCUACGGUGAAUACGUUCCCGGGCCUUGUACACACCGCCCGUCACACCAUGGGAGUGGGUUGCAAAAGAAGUAGGUAGCUUAACCUUCGGGAGGGCGCUUACCACUUUGUGAUUCAUGACUGGGGUGAAGUCGUAACAAGGUAACCGUAGGGGAACCUGCGGUUGGAUCACCUCCUUACCUGAAAGAA